rnacentral:rRNA from 1 species
UACAGAGGGUGCAAGCGUUGCUCGGAAUCAUUGGGCGUAAAGGGUAGGUAGGUGGUCUCGUUUGUCUGGGGUGAAAGCCCAGGGCUUAACCCUGGAAGUGCCCGGAAACGGCGAGACUGGAGUCUUGGAGAGGUCGUGGAAUUCCCGGUGUAGCGGUGAAAUGCGUAGAGAUCGGGAGGAACACCAGAGGCGAAGGCGGCGACCUGGACAAGUACUGACACUCAACUACGAAAGCGUGGGGAGCAAACAGG